rnacentral:rRNA from 1 species
UCCUAAGGCGAUAGCACGUUGAAUGCACCAGUUCCUGAUGGAUCACUGAUGUUAAUCAACGUUGUACGUGGUUGGUAUCUGGAUGGGUGACUAUCUGGGCAAUGCUUGCUGCUUGAUUGU